GACGAACGCUGGCGGCGUGCUUAACACAUGCAAGUCGAACGGAAAGGCCCUGCUUUUGUGGGGUGCUCGAGUGGCGAACGGGUGAGUAACACGUGAGUAACCUGCCCUUGACUUUGGGAUAACUUCAGGAAACUGGGGCUAAUACCGGAUAGGAGCUCCUGCUGCAUGGUGGGGGUUGGAAAGUUUCGGCGGUUGGGGAUGGACUCGCGGCUUAUCAGCUUGUUGGUGGGGUAGUGGCUUACCAAGGCUUUGACGGGUAGCCGGCCUGAGAGGGUGACCGGCCGCAUUGGGACUGAGAUACGGCCCAGACUCCUACGGGAGGCAGCAGUGGGGAAUAUUGCACAAUGGGCGGAAGCCUGAUGCAGCAACGCCGUGUGCGGGAUGACGGCCUUCGGGUUGUAAACCGCUUUCGCCUGUGACGAAGCGUGAGUGACGGUAAUGGGUAAAGAAGCACCGGCUAACUACGUG
rnacentral:rRNA from 1 species